rnacentral:rRNA from 1 species
CUGGGCUAGAAUGCCUCUGACAACCCUAGAGAUAGGGCUUCCUAGGGAAACCUAGGCAGAGUGCAAGGUGCUGCAUGGCUGUCGUCAGCUCGUGUCGUGAGAUGUUGGGUUAAGUCCCGCAACGAGCGCAACCCUUAUCGAUAGUUGCUAGCGGUUCGGCCGAGCACUCUAUUGAGACUGCCGUUGACAAAACGGAGGAAGGUGGGGAUGACGUCAAGUCCUCAUGGCCUUUAUGUCCAGGGCUACACACGUGCUACAAUGGCAAGUACAAAGCGCUGCAAACUCGCGAGAGGGAGCCAAUCGCAAAAAGCUUGUCUCAGUUCGGAUUGGAGUCUGCAACUCGACUCCAUGAAGCUGGAAUCGCUAGUAAUCGCAGAUCGGCACGCUGCGGUGAAUACGUUCCC